rnacentral:lncRNA from 1 species
GGGGCACCGAGUGGUCUGACUUCGGUGAGCAGAGUAUGAAAACUAUCAUUCUGCAGGCCCAAAGGAAGCACAGCUGAAGAAAUAAUCUACUUUCAACUAUAUAGAAACAGGCAUUUUGUGAUGCAGCAUUAUACCUGGGUGAAAGAGAAAAAAAACAACAAUCUGUAAGUAUUGGACAAACUAUCAUGGGAGCUUAAUAGCG